rnacentral:rRNA from 1 species
UGAGGAAUAUUGGUCAAUGGGCGAGAGCCUGAACCAGCCAAGUAGCGUGCAGGACGACGGCCCUAUGGGUUGUAAACUGCUUUUAUGUGGGGAUAAAGUGCGUGACGUGUCAUGCAUUGCAGGUACCACAUGAAUAAGGACCGGCUAAUUCCGUGCCAGCAGCCGCGGUAAUACGGAAGGUCCGGGCGUUAUCCGGAUUUAUUGGGUUUAAAGGGAGCGUAGGCUGUCUAUUAAGCGUGUUGUGAAAUGUAAGAGCUCAACUUUUAGAUUGCAGCGCGAACUGGCAGACUUGAGUGCGCACAACGUAGGCGGAAUUCAUGGUGUAGCGGUGAAAUGCUUAGAUAUCAUGACGAACUCCGAUUGCGAAGGCAGCUUACGGGAGCGCAACUGACGCUAAAGCUCGAAGGUGCGGGUAUCGAACAGG